GAUGAACGCUGGCGGCGUGCCUAAUACAUGCAAGUCGAGCGAACGGACGAGAAUCUUGCUUCUCUGGUGUUAGCGGCGGACGGGUAAGUAACACGUGGAUAACCUACCUAUAAGACCGGGAUAACUGCGGGAAACCGGAGCUAAUACCGGAUGAUAUUUUGAGCCGCAUGGUCCAACAGUGAAAGGCGGUCGGGCUGUCACGUAUAGAGGGAUCCGCGCUGCAUUAGCUAGUUGGUAAGGUAACGGCUUACCAAGGCAACGAUGCAUAGCCGACCUGGGAGGGUGGUCGGCCACACUGGAACUGGGCCACGCUCCCGACUCCUACGGGAGGCAGCAGUAGGGAACCUUCCGCAAUCGGCGAAUGCCUUACGGAGCAACGCCGCGUGCGUGAUGAAGGUCUUCGGACCGUAGCACUCUGCUACCCGCGAAGAACAUAUGUGUAAGUAACUGAGGACAUCUUGACGGUCCCUAGUAAGAUAGACACGGCUAACUCCAUG
rnacentral:rRNA from 1 species